rnacentral:rRNA from 1 species
AUUGAACGCUGGCGGCAUGCCUUACACAUGCAAGUCGAACGGUAACGGGCCUUCGGGUGCCGACGAGUGGCGCACGGGUGAGUAAUACAUCGGAACGUGCCCGAUCGUGGGGGAUAACGAGGCGAAAGCUUUGCUAAUACCGCAUACGAUCUACGGAUGAAAGCAGGGGACCGCAAGGCCUUGCGCGGACGGAGCGGCCGAUGGCAGAUUAGGUAGUUGGUGGGAUAAAAGCUUACCAAGCCGACGAUCUGUAGCUGGUCUGAGAGGAUGAUCAGCCACACUGGGGUUGGGACACGCCCCAGACCCCGAGGGGAGGCAGAGGUGGGGAAUUUGGGAAAAGGGGCGCAAGCUUGAUCCAGCCAUGCCGCGUGGAGGAAGAAGGCCUUCGGGUUGUAAACUGUUUUUGUACGGAACAAAAAGCCUUCUUUUAAAACAGGGGGGUCAGGACGGUACCGGAAAAAUAAGCCCCGGCUAACUACGG